UUAAGUUUGUUUACAUAAAACGUAAACACACAUUUCUGUCUAGACUAAUUCAUCCCGCCUGGAAACUUGUAAUGAGGGAAAAGUCUACAUGGCGGCAGUAUUCAUGUAGCAGCUAUGUGACGGACAGCAGCAUCACCUCUAAGGAAUACCUAAAUAAUCUGAUUUGAAGCAUUCAUCGGCUGCUGAUCUCUACAGGGGAGGGCCCGUAUUAAUGGGAGACUGAUUGACGGGCUGUUUGGCCUCCAGCCAGGAGGGAUUGUUGUCUGGCUGUGGGACGAGGUCAAGGGUCACGGUCCGGAGAGGCCGAGACAGAAACCAGAUCACAACAGAAGGCUAAUUAUCAUGCAUUGUGGCCGGGCUCCUGCUGGGACUCCGCCUUCACUUUCACCAGCAGGUCACACUGAGAACUCUACACCUCCCUGGUGAGAUACGUAACUAAUGUUACAUUACUUAUUCUGGGAUUUAUGUGAGAGUGGUUGCUUUGCUUAAAAUUCAGGAUUGUCUAUUUAACUAUUAUAUAGGCAGGGGUCCACAU